rnacentral:rRNA from 1 species
AGAGCGAACGCUGGCGGCAGGCUUAACACAUGCAAGUCGAGCGGGCGUAGCAAUACGUCAGCGGCAGACGGGUGAGUAACGCGUGGGAACAUACCUUUUGGUUCGGAACAACCCAGGGAAACUUGGGCUAAUACCGGAUAAGCCCUUACGGGGAAAGAUUUAUCGCCGAAAGAUUGGCCCGCGUCUGAUUAGCUAGUUGGUGAGGUAACGGCUCACCAAGGCGACGAUCAGUAGCUGGUCUGAGAGGAUGAUCAGCCACAUUGGGACUGAGACACGGCCCAAACUCCUACGGGAGGCAGCAGUGGGGAAUAUUGGACAAUGGGCGCAAGCCUGAUCCAGCCAUGCCGCGUGAGUGAUGAAGGCCCUAGGGUUGUAAAGCUCUUUUGUGCGGGAAGAUAAUGACGGUACCGCAAGAAUAAGCCCGGCUAACUUCGUGCCAGCAGCCGC